AUUAAUAUCAUCCAUCAUAUAACAUCGCAUAAUACAUCUCCCAGGUUUACAUAACACAAUAACUCAUCUCACGAAUACAUUUCCUUACACAGGAAUAUAGUAAGAACGGACAAAAUUGCACAAGAGAACAAUGGGACAUCUGCUAACAAUGGAGUUCAUUCCAAUCUCCUUUGAGACAUAGGUUCAGAAAUUUUUAUGUUGUGUUGAUUUGAAUGUCCCAAGUAGGCAUCAUCGACAUCUUCUCACCACUUUCCUAGAAAUAGAAAAAAGACAAAACAAAAAACAUUAGACCGUAAUAUUACACCAGAGCACAGAUCACUAACUUCAAAUCACA
rnacentral:lncRNA from 1 species